UGCUGGGUGCGCUCAGUGGCAGGGUGCUUGCUAGCAUGCAUGAGGCCCUGGGUUGGAUCCCCAGCACAGCAA
rnacentral:tRNA from 1 species